UUGUUUAAUUGCUGUUCGUGUGACACAGGGGUGUCUGUGGAUGGGGGAUGUUGCUGUGGGGGAGGCUGAGUGAUCCGUGUGUGCACACGUGAAUGCACACCUGUGUUGACUGGAGUGUGAGGGGGUGUUUGUGUUGGGGCGUGUGUGAGAGAGAGACUCAGUGAGCAGUGAGAUGAAAUCUCCCAGAGAGCCCACCACACCCUCACCCUCUUUUCUCCAGGCGUGGCUACAAGCAGGAUUUCCCACUGUCAAGAGUGGUUUGCAAGUUCUCGCUCACAAGGGGAACUGCAGCCUUUGAGCUCGAGCAAGCACCUGCUCCACAGGGCUCUUCUUUGCCUGAGCUGCUGUGGACAUGAGGAGACUUCAUACUCUGCAUCUUAGGGUGUGGGAUCAUACUUUGAGGAAAUUGGGAAAGAUGCAGACGCGACCUUGUUUACCUCCUCCAUGCUGUCUGAUUGCCACUUUCCCAACCUAAAAAGCAGCUUUGACAUAUACCACACGGAACAAUGCAUCUUUCUCUCCUUCGUGCCUCCCGCAGGUGGUACAAGAAUCACUUCACUGCGGAUCUUUUGAAGAACCACUUCUCUGUCUACACUACACGUUUUCCAAGUACAAUGUGUAGGCACGACAACCCCAUUUUAUUCAGGAGAAAGUCAUCACAGAAACACUAAGUAUCUCAUUCCCUACCUGUGGUACCUGUCAGUUGGCAUGAAAUAAAAAUGGGAGACAUCAAGAAAAUAUUCAUGUCUAUCUGCCCAGGAGCCUUCUGUUUAUUGUUGCCUAGAGAAGUGUCUGCAUUCUAUGUAAUCAUGGCAUCGUCUUUCAACCUACAAGGACCUGAAAUCCUGGGUAGAUAAGCAGCCUGAAGCAUGUGUUUCUUCCCAGUCCCCUGCAGGCUUCUAGGAUAGAAAUACAGUGAUGGGAUGAUCUAAAGGGACACUGAUGGAGUGCUUGGUGAAGAAGAGCUGGGGUCAGAGCAGCAGACCAAGGACUUUGCUUCUAGAACACAGGUGGAAGAAGAAGGGGAGUACGGAUGAGCAGGAUCCCUUAAAAGGCUCUUUAAGGUUCGAAAUCAUGAGUUCAGCAUAGUUUCUCAGAAAGCUAGGCUGAGAAAUGCCAUGAUAAGAAAACAUGGUCCCCAGCUGAAACUGUUGCCUUUAAAGUCUAUAAUAAUCAAAAGAUGUGUACCACCUAUUCAUUGACACAGUUACAAAUAAAGAAUUGUUAUUAAUUAGUA